rnacentral:rRNA from 1 species
CUAGUCGCACGAGUUCAGACUCGUGGCGGAAAGCUCAGUAACACGUGGCCAAACUGCCCUAUAGACCACCAUAACCUCGGGAAACUGAGGCUAAUGAUGGAUAUGAUUCUCACUCUGGAGUGAGGAGAAUCAGAAACGCUCCGGCGCUAUAGGAUGUGGCUGCGGCCGAUUAGGUAGACGGUGGGGUAACGGCCCACCGUGCCGAUAAUCGGUACGGGUUGUGAGAGCAAGAGCCCGGAGACGGAAUCUGAGACAAGAUUCCGGGCCCUACGGGGCGCAGCAGGCGCGAAAACUUUACACUGCACGACAGUGCGAUAAGGGGACUCCGAGUGCGAGGGCAUAUAGUCCUCGCUUUUCUGUACCGUAGGGUGGUACAGGAAUAAGGGCUGGGCAAGACCGGUGCCAGCCGCCGCGGUAAUACCGGCAGCCCGAGUGAUGGCCGCUAUUAUUGGGCCUAAAGCGUCCGUAGCCAGCCAGACAGGUCCGUCGGGAAAUCCACGCGCUCAACGCGUGGGCGUCCGGCGGAAACCAGCUGGCUUGGGGCCGGAAGACUCGAGGGGUACGUCCGGGGUAGGAGUGAAAUCCCGUAAUCCUGGACGGACCACCGGUGGCGAAAGCGCCUCGAGAAGACGGACCCGACGGUGAGGGACGAAAGCUAGGGUCACGAACCGGAUUAGAUACCCGGGUAGUCCUAGCUGUAAACGAUGCUCGCUAGGUGUGGCGCUGGCUACGAGCCAGCGCUGUGCCGUAGGGAAGCCGAGAAGCGAGCCGCCUGGGAAGUACGUCCGCAAGGAUGAAACUUAAAGGAAUUGGCGGGGGAGCACUACAACCGGAGGAGCCUGCGGUUUAAUUGGAUUCAACGCCGGGAU